rnacentral:rRNA from 1 species
GACGAACGCUGGCGGCGUGCCUAACACAUGCAAGUCGAACGGGGUAAGAAGCUUCGGUUUCUUACUUAGUGGCGAACGGGUGAGUAACGCGUGAGAAACCUGCCUUUCAGUGGGGGACAACAGUUGGAAACGACUGCUAAUACCGCAUAAUGUUAUUUGAGGGCAUCCUCGGAUAACCAAAGAUUUAUUGCUGAAAGAUGGUCUCGCGUCUGAUUAGCUAGAUGGCGGGGUAACGGCCCACCAUGGCGACGAUCAGUAGCCGGUCUGAGAGGAUGAACGGCCACAUUGGGACUGAGAUACGGCCCAGACUCCUACGGGAGGCAGCAGUGGGGAAUAUUGGGCAAUGGGGGAAACCCUGACCCAGCAACGCCGCGUGAAGGAAGAAGGCCUUCGGGUUGUAAACUUCUUUUACCAGGGACGAACAAAUGACGGUACCUGGAGAAAAAGCAACGGCUAACUACGUGCCAGCCGCCGCUGUAAUAC